CGAGUAUACUCGCAUUAAACAUUCUGAAGGCUAUAUUUUAUUUACUGAGCAAUAAACUGCUUCAGACAGGCUUACGCUCGCAUUACAGCCGCUCAAGAAUAUGGGUCCUGAAUGGUCUUGAAACUAGUAGUAGUACGCUUUUUGUACCAAAUUACACUAACCACGUGCCACCAACCUACCAAUGUGAAUUGACCUUAACGUAAACGGAUUCCGGGAAUGAUAAUUAAUUUAGUUAGUCGCUUAUGGUGUACAGCCGCUGUGAUGCAGCGACUCGGAACAUUUCCUUAUAGGCAUGUGCAUAAAAAUAUGAAACAAACUACCUGCAGUGAAAUUUCCGAUCUUAAACAAUUUGGGAACCUUUUAGAAGAAAGUAUAUACCUUUUUAAAGACCAACAAUGGAAUGAAUAAUAAAGGAAUGGUGACCCCGUCUGCUGUGUGAUCCCGGCAUACAAUAAACAACUCCUUCUUUUCCAAUGGUCAUAAGAGGCAAAUAAAAGGACUUAGUGGUCGAGGGAUGAAUAGCAGCGUCUUAAAACAUCAUCAAAGCCUAACUGCAGUUGCCUACCCGCUUACGAAGCAUAGCAACUUCUGGCAAACCCCAUUAUGAGGGAGGUCUAUGCUGAGAAGUAUUAUUUCUUUUUCGCAUAGCCUCCCCAAUGCAAUGCAAUGACUUCGUGCCCAGAUAGAAAACAUCCAUAUUGCCUCGGGUAUUAAAAAUAAAUAGGUACUAU